rnacentral:rRNA from 1 species
UACAGAGGUCUCAAGCGUUGUUCGGAUUCAUUGGGCGUAAAGGGUGCGUAGGUGGCGCGCUAAGUCAGGUGUGAAAUCUCGGGGCUUAACUCCGAAACUGCAUUUGAUACUGGCGUGCUUGAGGACUGGAGAGGAGACUGGAAUUCAUGGCGUAGCAGUGAAAUGCGUAGAGAUCAUGAGGAAGACCAGUGGCGAAGGCGGGUCUCUGGACAGUUCCUGACACUGAGGCACGAAGGCCAGGGGAGCAAACGGG